ACAACCCUUUUGUGCGUGGGAUCUCGAGCACGCGUCAUGAGUUUUUGGCGCCCCCUGCGCGAGAAAGCGCGUUUGAAGAAGA
rnacentral:snoRNA from 1 species